GACGAACGCUGGCGGCGUGCUUAACACAUGCAAGUCGAACGGAAAGGCCCCUUUGGGGGUCCUCGAGUGGCGACCGGGGGCGUAACACGUGAGUAACCUUCCCUUGACUUCGGGAUAACUUCAGGAAACUGGAGCUAAUACUGGAUAGGAAUCACUUCUGCAAGGGGGGGGUUGGACAGCUUCGGAGGUUUUGGCUGGACUGGAGACUUAUCAGCUUGUUGGUGGGGUAGUGGCUUACCAAGACUUUGACGGGUGGCCGGCCUGAGAGGGCGACCGGCCACAUUGGGACUUAGAGACGGCCGCGACGCCGAAGGUAGGCAGAAGGGGGGAAGAUUGCACGAUCGGCGGAAGCCGGAUGCAGCAGCGCCGCGGGCGGGAUGACUGUCUUCGGGUUGUAGACCGCUUUCAGCAGGGGCGAAGCUUGUGGUGACGGUACCUGCAGAAGAAGCACCGGCUAACUACGUG
rnacentral:rRNA from 1 species